GUGAGGAAUAUUGCGCAAUGGAGGCAACUCUGACGCAGCCAUACCGCGUGCAGGAAGAAGGCGCUACGCGUUGUAAACUGCUUUUAACCGGGAAGAAACCCCAGGACGUGUCCUGGGUUGACGGUACCGGAGGAAUAAGCACCGGCUAACUUCGUGCCAGCAGCCGCGGUAAUACGAAGGGUGCAAGCGUUAUCCGGAUUCAUUGGGGUUAAAGGGUGCGUAGGCGGAGCGUUAAGUCAGUGGUGAAAUACUGCAGCUUAACUGUAGACUUGACAUGGAUACUGGCGCUCUUGAGUGCGCUGAAAGUGGGCGGAAUGUGCCGUGUAGCGGUGAAAUGCUUAGAUAUGGCACAGAACACCAAUUGCGAAGGCAGCUCACUAAGGCGAUACUGACGCUGAGGCACGAAAGCGUGGGGAUCGAACAGGAUUAGAAACCCGAGUAGUCC
rnacentral:rRNA from 1 species